UACGUAGGGUGCAAGCGUUGUCCGGAAUUAUUGGGCGUAAAGAGCUCGUAGGCGGUCCGUCACGUCGGCUGUGAAAACCCGGGGCUCAACUCCGGGCCUGCAGUCGAUACGGGCGGACUAGAGUACUGCAGGGGAGACUGGAAUUCCUGGUGUAGCGGUGAAAUGCGCAGAUAUCAGGAGGGAACACCGGUGGGCGAAGGCGGGUCUCUGGGCGAGUAACUGACGCUGGAGGAGCGAAAGCCGUGGGGAGCGAACAGG
rnacentral:rRNA from 1 species